CAGCAGCCGCGGUAAUACGUAGGUGGCAAGCGUUGUCCUGAAUUAUUGGGCGUAAAGGGCUCGCAGGCGGUUUCUUAAGUCUGAUGUGAAAGCCCCCGGCUCAACCGGGGAGGGUCAUUGGAAACUGGGAAACUUGAGUGCAGAAGAGGAGAGUGGAAUUCCACGUGUAGCGGUGAAAUGCGUAGAGAUGUGGAGGAACACCAGUGGCGAAGGCGACUCUCUGGUCUGUAACUGACGCUGAGGAGCGAAAGCGUGGGGAGCGAACAGGAUUAGAUACCCCCGUAGUCCCUGUCUCUUAUAC
rnacentral:rRNA from 1 species